UCGGCCGUUCGGUGAGGUCCAGUGCGCCCCUGGGGUUGCAUCCCGGCACGCGGUGGCCUAGCGUUGAACGAGCGUUCAACCCCACGCGGCGGAG
rnacentral:tRNA from 1 species